GACUACGGCCAUGCCACCCUGAACGUGCCCAAUCUCAUCUGAUCGCAGAAGCUAAGCAGUGUCAAGCCUGGUUAAUACUUGGAUGGGAGACCACUUCGGAAUACCAGGUGCUAUAGGCG
rnacentral:rRNA from 1 species